rnacentral:rRNA from 1 species
UACGGAGGGUGCAAGCGUUAUCCGGAUUCACUGGGUUUAAAGGGUGCGUAGGUGGGCUUGAAAGUCAGUGGUGAAAUCUCCGGGCUUAACCUGGAAACUGCCAUUGAUACUCUGAGUCUUGAAUUUUCUGGAGGUAAGCGGAAUAUGUCAUGUAGCGGUGAAAUGCUUAGAUAUGACAUAGAGCACCAAUUGCGAAGGCAGCUUACUACGGGACAAUUGACACUGAGGCACGAAAGCGUGGGGAUCAAACAGG